CCUACGGGAGGCAGCAGUGGGGAAUAUUGGACAAUGGGCGAAAGCCUGAUCCAGCAAUGCCGCGUGAGUGAUGAAGGCCUUAGGGUCGUAAAGCUCUUUUACCCGGGAUGAUAAUGACAGUACCGGGAGAAUAAGCCCCGGCUAACUCCGUGCCAGCAGCCGCGGUAAUACGGAGGGGGCUAGCGUUGUUCGGAAUUACUGGGCGUAAAGCGUGCGUAGGCGGUUAUUCAAGUCAGAGGUGAAAGCCCGGGGCUCAACCCCGGAACGGCCUUUGAAACUAGGUAGCUAGAAUCUUGGAGAGGUCAGUGGAAUUCCGAGUGUAGAGGUGAAAUUCGUAGAUAUUCGGAAGAACACCAGUGGCGAAGGCGACUGACUGGACAAGUAUUGACGCUGAGGCACGAAAGCGUGGGGAGCAAACAGGAUUAGAUACCCUGGUAGUCCACGCCGUAAACGAUGAUAACUAGCUGUUCGGGUACUUGGUAUCUGAGUGGCGCAGCUACGACAUUAAGUUAUCCGUCCGUCGGGUAGGUACGGUCGGCGAAGAAUUAAAACUACAAAGGAAAGUUAGUACGGCGUGAGACGUGCCGAACGGACGACGACGAGGGAGGUAGG
rnacentral:rRNA from 1 species